AUACGGAGGGUGCUAGCGUUAUUCGGAUUUACUGGGCGUAAAGAGAGCGUAGGCGGUUAAUAAAGUUGGAUGUGAAAGCCCGGGGCUCAACCUCGGAACUGCAUUCAAAACUCAUUAACUAGAAUUUGGUAGAGGAUAGUGGAAUUCCUAGUGUAGAGGUGAAAUUCGUAGAUAUUAGGAGGAACACCAGUGGCGAAGGCGACUAUCUGGACCAACAUUGACGCUAAGGCUCGAAAGCGUGGGGAGCAAACAGGAUUAGAAACCCUAGUAGUCC
rnacentral:rRNA from 1 species